rnacentral:tRNA from 1 species
GAGGGUAUAGCUUAGUGGUAGAGUGCAUGCCUAGCAAGCAUGCAUAAGGUCCUGGAUUCAAUUCCCAAUGCCUCCG